rnacentral:lncRNA from 10 species
CUAUGCCUCAUUCUACUCAUCUGCAAGAUACCAACACUCCUUCUGUGACUUGCCUGCCUGCCACUGUUACCUGCAAGGAUGCUGUGAUGACAUGGGGCCCACCUGGAUAAUCCAGGACACUCUUCCCACCUCACAGUCAGCUGGGAAGGAAACAGCCUCAAAGGGAACCAAUGCUUUGCCCAAGGACACUUGGCACUAAAGCGGAAAAACUGGCCCCAAACCCAGAUUUUCUCAAGUCCAGCACUUUCUGCACCGUGUGUUGGGCCUCAAUUUCAAAGAUGACAAAGCUUCAGGACCUGUUUCAGUUUUGUCUUACGAAUGGAUUUGGC